UAUGUGAAAAAGUUGGAUUUUACUUCAACAUGAACCAACUUUCAGACGCAAUCACACUAACAGAUAACAUUACAAUCAUUGACUGUCAUCGAUGUGUAUUGGAGUCAAGUUUCUUAGAAUGUGAUUUCAUGACUUCACGAGUGUCUUUUAUGAGAGGGUUCGUUCCUUGUCUCAAGCCAGACAAGGCAUUGCAGUGGGUUGUGCGUCAGGGAGACGUAUAAAGAAGGAGUCAGCUUGUGACAAACAGGUAAUGGUUUAUUAUGACAGAAAUAUGAUAUGACAUUAGCGAUGUUGUUGUGAUGGCGCCGUUGACAAGUAAUACGCUCCACACAGUGUGCGCCUGGGACAUGUAGUCCUGACUGAGAGAGACUCUGCGCCUGUCCAAGGUGAUCCCGGCACUUCCGGCUCCGCCCCCUCCCGCACGCACAGACCUCUCAGCGCCCUGCCCCUCACUCUGCUAAACUGAAAACAAAACUUUUGUUUCUGGGAGCACUUUCGUUUCAGGUCUGUUGUGUCACUGCGCUUGCUUUGUUUGCAGCUACUAGCGCAGGCGAGAGACAUGAACGGGAGAGCUUUGCUGGCCGCUCUACACUAGCAGGGGGCCCUGUCUGUCACUUCCAUCAGGUGCUGCUGCACGUGGAGACCCGUGUGUGCCCCUCUGUCUCAUGCCCUCCACACCCAGACUAAUAGAGCCCCUCUCCUCCUGCCACACAGUCCCUCUGCCAUGCGGGCUAGAUAAGGGCCAGCCUGCUAGUGUGCGCUUUAGCUUCACUCUUUGCUUUCCGGCGGGAGGUGGGCAGCCAUGGAUGGGCAGGGAGAAAAGGGCACCGUUGCCUGCAGUAAGGAUGAAGCUGCCAUGGACUCCUAUCUGAGAUCCGAGGGGCUGUACAGGAAGAAGAUAGCGAAGGACGGCUCGUGUCUAUUCAGGGCUGUGGCCGAGCAGGCUAUGCACUCGCAGUCAGAACAUCUGAAGAUAAGAAAAUCCUGUAUAAAAUAUUUGCGUGAAACUCGUGGACAGUAUGAAGCGGCAAUAAAAACAUUUAUCAGAGUUGAAUUGGAACAAUCUUUUGGAUAGUCUUUCAGGCGAGUUGGGGUUCUAUGAAACUGUUUGUAUUUCUCACUCAAACUAAACAACAUAGACCAAGGCAACCACAGCACUUUCGAAGAUAUGCAGCUUUUCACUUAAUGGGAGAAAUAUUAACAACUAUUGUUCUAAGUGACAGGGUGCUGCCUACCCCUAGUCCAGCAAGUGUUAGCUCAGUGAGAAGUGUAUGCGCUCUCUGGUCAAAGUGCUUUGCGCACACGCGUCCUCGGUUGCGCACAAUUGCGCACAUGCGUCCUUGGUUGCGCACAAUAGCGCACACGCAUCCUCGGUUGCGCACGAGUGCACACAUGCGUCCUCGGUUGCGCACGAUUGCGCACAUGCGUCCUCGGUUGCGUGCCAUUGCGCACUGAUGCUGUGGGGGCUGAAGUGGCCGGCCUGGCCCAGCAGUGGCUAUGAUUCCAUGUGACACCGUGUUGGAAUGGAUUGUUACAGCAGCAAAGGUCCCUUUGGUGGCAUAUCUGUGGUACACUGAUAACACAUUUUCAGAAUAUGAAGUGCCCUGUAAAACAUCAGACUAUUCAUUUAAGUCACAAACAAUGGACUAUAAUGACAAUGGAGGUCAUCUGUCUGCAUCAUACACAGACCAAGAUGACUAGAUUGAUAGACCGUCAGCUAUUCUGGAAAUAUAAUCAGAGUUCUGAUCAGAUUGCAGUUGGUCGCUCUGAAGUGAAAAGCCUGAGGUCACUGGCCUCCCAUGUGAUAAUUCAGCCUACCAGUACCAGAUGAUUACUGUAAUGUUCAUAAAAUGCACAGGGGAUGUGCCUUGUCAUCUUUUUGGUAAUAAUGUCUGAUGCCAACACAGAAACAAGCUCAUCUGGUUUUGUUCCUGGGCAAACUGUUUUAUCAUCAAUCCGCCACAUGAAGAAUUUGCACAAAUAAUAAUUAAUCCCUCAACCCAAAAAAUACCACAGCAUUAAAAGGCCCACUGGGUAAACAUCUUUCCCAAUGCUACGAAAAAAGGGAAGAAAGCUAAAAAUAUUGGGGACCAGUAAGCAACCAUACAUUGCCUUGGUUUGGACAGUAUGACAAUCCCAAACACAAAGUUUCCCAGGGUGAAACACGUCUGUUACACAUCUAAACAAAAUGACAUCUAAUAUAUAUGUAUAAACAGCAGAGUUGCCAGGUUGUCUGUUUUCCAGCCAAAUUGGGCUACUAAUGUAAAGCCCAGGCAGGCUUUGAAAGUACAAACUAGCCAAGGUAUGGAUUUGGGCUACUUUU